rnacentral:rRNA from 1 species
UACAUAGCUUAAUGAGGGGAACUCAGGGAACUGAAACAUCUAAGUACCUGAAGGAAGAGAAAGAAAUUCGAUUCCGUAAGUAGCGGCGAGCGAACGCGGAUUAGCCCAAACCAAUAAAGUUUUCUUUAUUGGGGUUGCGGACAUAUCAUAACGAAGAGGUAUCGUAAUUGAAGAGGUUUGGAAAGACCCACCACAGAAGGUAAUAGUCCUGUAUGUUAAACGAGAAGACUUUAGAUAUGAUCCAGAGUACCACGGGACACGUGAAACCCUGUGGGAAGCAGGAGGGACCACCCUCCAAGGCUAAAUACUACCUAGUGACCGAUAGCGUAUAGUACCGUGAGGGAAAGGUGAAAAGAACCCCGGGAGGGGAGUGAAAUAGAACCUGAAACCCUGCACUUACAAGCUGUGGAAGCACAUUUCUUGUGUGACCGCGUACUUUUUGUAGAACGGGCCAACGAGUUACGUUAAGUAGCAAGGUUAAGCACUUAAGGUGCGGAGCCGUAGCGAAAGCGAGUUUUAACUGAGCGUUCAGUUACUUGACGUAGACCCGAAACCGGGCGACCUACCCAUGAGCAGGAUGAAGCGAAAGUAAAAUUUCGUGGAGGUCCGAACCCACGAGCGUUGAAAAGCUCGGGGAUGACUUGUGGGUAGCGGUGAAAUUCCAAUCGAGCCCGGAGAUAGCUGGUUCUCCCCGAAAUAGCUUUAGGGCUAGCCUCAAGGUGAGAGAUACGGAGGUAGAGCACUGAAUGUCCUAGGGGGUAUUGCACCUACCGAAGACUAUCAAACUCCGAAUGCCGUCAUCUUAUACUUGGGAGUCAGACUGUGGGUGAUAAGAUUCAUAGUCGAAAGGGCAACAGCCCAGAUCGUCAGCUAAGGUCCCUAAAUGUAAGUUAAGUGGUAAAGGAUGUGGGAUUGCACAGACAACCAGGAUGUUGGCUUAGAAGCAGCCACUCAUUCAAAGAGUGCGUAAUAGCUCACUGGUCGAGUGAUCCUGCGCCGAAGAUUUCCGGGGCUAAAACUUACUACCGAAGCUACGGCAUCAGUAAUGAUGGGUAGGGGAGCUUCCCAUACGGGUUGAAGCAUGACCGUAAGGACAUGUGGACAGUAUGGGAGUGAGAAUGUUGGCAUGAGUAGCGAGAUGUGGGUGAGAAUCCCACAGGCCGUAAACCCAAGGUUUCCAGGGGAAGGUUCGUCCGCCCUGGGUUAGUCGGGACCUAAGCUGAGGCCGAAAGGCGUAGGUGAUGGACAACAGGUUGAUAUUCCUGUACUACCGAUAACCGUUUGAGAGA